rnacentral:rRNA from 1 species
AAUGAACGUUGGCGGCGUGGAUUAGGCAUGCGAGUCGUGCGAGAACCGUAGCAAUACGGGGAAAGCGGCGAAAGGGAGAGGAAUACGCGGGUACCUACCCUCGGAUCUGGGAUAGCCACGGGAAACUGUGGGUAAUACCAGAUAAUGUCUCCGGACCAAAGGUGUGAUUCCGUCCGGGGAGGGGCCCACGUCCUAUUAGCUAGUUGGUGAGGUAACGGCUCACCAAGGCGAAGAUGGGUAUGGGAUGUGAGAGCAUGAUCCCACUCAUUGGGACUGAGACACUGCCCAGACACCUACGGGUGGCUGCAGUCGAGAAUCUUCGGCAAUGGGGGAAACCCUGACCGAGCGACGCCGCGUGCGAGAUGAAGGCCUUCGGGUUGUAAAUCCCUGUCAGUGGGGAGGAAAUGUUGGUGGGUUCUCCCAUCAAUUUGACCUAUCCGCAGAGGAAGGACGGGCUAAGUUCGUGCCAGCAGCCGCCGUAACAC